rnacentral:ncRNA from 1 species
UGUACGACAUAGGGCACUGGUCACCGACCUCCUCCCCCAGGGGUCGGCGCUAAGAGGGAACCCGGCGUAACUCCGGGGCGGCCCCGCCGCUGUAAAGGACGACGAGGAAGCUUUCCGCCACUGUGCCGUGUCUGGCUCGGGAAGGCCGCUUUCGAGGACGAAUCCUGAGCCAGAAGACCUGCCAGUGCCCGAGUCCGCGC